GACGAACGCUGGCGGCGUGCCUAAUACAUGCAAGUAGAACGCUGAAGAGAGGAGCUUGCUCUUCUUUGAUGAGUUGCGAACGGGUGAGUAACGCGUAGGUAACCUGCCUUGUAGCGGGGGAUAACUAUUGGAAACGAUAGCUAAUACCGCAUAACAAUUGAUGACACAUGUCAUUUAUUUGAAAGGGGCAAUUGUUCCACUACAAGAUGGACCUGCGUUGUAUUAGCUAGUAGGUGAGGUAAUGGCUCACCUAGGCGACGAUACAUAGCCGACCUGAGAGGGGGAUCGGCCACACUGGGAAUGAGACACGGCCCAGACUCCUACGGGAGGCAGCAGUAGGGAAUCUUCGGCAAUGGGGGCAACACUGACCGAGCAACGCCGCGUGAGUGAAGAAGGUUUUCGGAUCGUAAAGAUCUGUUGUAAGUCAAGAACGGGUGUGAGAGUGGAAAGUUCACACUGUGACGGUAGCUUACCAGAAAGGGACGGCUAACUACGUG
rnacentral:rRNA from 1 species